UUGCAAGAUAGCUGGAGGUUGCUCACUAUCUGGGCUCCAUGAAGGAAAGAUGUGGGGAGAAGAGACCUUGAUCCUAACACUUGGAACUGCCAGCAAUCACUCACUUAUACAUCUCUUGCUGUUUGUGAAAGAGAGAAAGAAAGAACCAGAGCAUGUGAGUGGGGAUGAGAAAAGGAGAGAGAAUCUAAGGAGGCUCCACACCCAGCAUGGACCCCAACAUGGGCUCGAUGUGGGGGUCCUUCUCACAACCCUGAGAACAUGACCUGAACUGAAAUCAAGAGUUGGUACUUAACCAACCGAGCCACCCAGGCACCCCUAAACAUCUUUCAAUAAGUGAAUGAUUAAGUAAAUUAUGGCAUAUCUAUACAAUGGGUUGCUCUGUAGCCCUAAAAAAUAAGGCUAAUAAGCAUACACUGACCAGGAAAUAUGUUUAUGAUAUAUUAUUUAGGCGAGAGGCCUAAUA
rnacentral:lncRNA from 1 species